UGGGGGUACUACCACAGAGCUACAUCCCUAUCCCUUUUUACUUUUUUAAGAAGACAGGGUCUUGCUAAAUUACUGAGGGUGGCCUCAAACUUGCAAUCCUCCUGCCUCAGCCUCCAAAGUCAGUGAGAUUACAGGUAUGUGCCAUGAUGCCCAGCUAGACCAGAAUUUUUAAAACACCAUAAAAAAUUAUGACCACAGCCAGAAAAAAUUAAUAAUUUGAGCAAGAAAUCACCUGGUUUUUGAAUUUUCAAAUUUAUCCUUAUAAAGGAACAUACAACUGUUUCUCUCUGCCUCCUUUUUUCCAUCCUGCCUUUCUUUAUAUUCAUUUAUUAGUCAUUAAUUUGUUCAUCAGACUUUUUGAGUGCCUACUUUAGGAGAUGAAAAAGCAUGUUUCAGAUGGAAAACUUUGGAGUCAGACUCUAGAGUUUCAUUCACAGUCUAUUUUUCAUAAGUCGUAUGCCUUUAAGCAAUUUACCUCACCUCAGUAUGCCUUGGUUUUCUCAGUAGUAAAUUGGGGAUGAUAAUAGUACCUAUUUCAAUGUAGUAUACUGAUUAAAUGAAUAAGCCAGAAAAGCUCUUAGCAUAUGUUUAACACAUUGUAAACCCUAAAAAAACAACAACAUAAAAAACCACCACCAACAACAACAACAAAAAACUACCCAAUGUAGAAUGUAGUCAGGAUAAAAGAG
rnacentral:lncRNA from 1 species